AUUAACAAUAAUCAUCAUGAGACUUUGGGAGUAAUAAUUUAAUGACUUCUUGCACUCUCUUGCUACUUUUUGGUGGUGUUCAUUUAGCAUGUACUACAGUGAUAUCUCUAAUGAAAUUAAAACUUGCCAGCAAGCAUUAUUAGCUAGAGAUAGGCAGGUAUUAAAACACCAGACCUAACAGGCUGCAGUGACUGCUGUCAGGGUAUCUGUGGGUGAGGUAACUUGGUUUGAAUUAGGCCAGGUAGCCUCUCAGAAAGGUAAUAAAGAAUUGCCUGUGACUGACAGGACUCAUGCUGCAGAGGAUUUGUUGGUGGUGGGUAUGUUCUCUUUGUUUGUUUGCCUCCUCCUCAUGCUUCACAGUCAUCAGCAGCCUUGUGGAAGAAAUGUGAGGCAGAUGGCACAGACCUGGAACUCGCCCAAGCAGAGAAAAUCGUGGGAGGGCUAAAAAGGUUCCCUACUGUAGGGUUCAGUCUUGUUCUCAGGCACCUCAGCUGUGAAACUCAUGGGGCGGGUGAGUUCAGUAAGGAAUUUUUGCUGACCAGUGGACAUUGUUUUGCAGAGGCAAGAAAUGAGCUACCACAGAAGACAUACUGCUCAGUUUAUGUGAAGAGCUACAGCUAGGGAAGGUAGCUGUUACUGCUCUCUGUGCUCUCAAUGUUUCCUUGUGCCGGAAAGGAGAACACCUAUCUCAGUUACCUGGUUGAGUGUUUGCACACAUUUUCGCCAUGCUCAGCUGGUUCUCUGAGCUUUAUGAAUGUCAUUAUUUCAGGUCAAACAGAAACAGUGUUACUUCCAGCAUUUACCGUGUCCGGGAAACCUGCUGAUGGCUGGUUUGGAGUGAUUCUGUGGUCAUACAGGAAGCGCUUCAGUGAUGCAGUGGUGUCUGUUAAGAUAGACUUUCAGUCACUUUAG
rnacentral:lncRNA from 1 species